rfam:Tropilaelaps mercedesae isolate Wuxi-XJTLT scaffold0000027400, whole genome shotgun sequence.
AUCGCUUCUCGGCCUUUUGGCUAAGAUCAAAGUGUAGUAUCUGUUCUUAUCAGCUUAAUAUCUGAUACGGGGGACAUUGUCCCCCAAGAUAUUAAACUAUUUUUUGGAACAGGGCUGAGUGUUCGGGGCUUGCUCCACCUCGGCCACGGGUUGGCCUGGUAUAGCACUACCUCCAGGAUCGGCCCACUCCUC